UACGAAGGGGGCUAGCGUUGCUCGGAAUCACUGGGCGUAAAGCGCACGUAGGCGGAUUGCUAAGUCAGGGGUGAAAUCCUGGAGCUCAACUCCAGAACUGCCUUUGAUACUGGCGACCUUGAGUCCGGGAGAGGUGAGUGGAACUGCGAGUGUAGAGGUGAAAUGCGUAGAUAUCAUUUGGAACGCCAAUGGUGAAAACAGCUCGCUGGGGGUUUGCUGACGCUGAGACACGAAAGCCAGGGGAGCAAACGGG
rnacentral:rRNA from 1 species